rnacentral:sRNA from 1 species
GGUGAUCACAACACCAAUGUUCCGGCAAUCUGAGAGGGACGCCUUCGGGUGAUUGCACACCAAUGUCAUCGUAGCCUGAGAGGUGACGCCUUCGGGUGGUACAGCCCUUUAAUCUUUGGAAACGGCUGUCGCAGCAUUUUGCGAUGAAGAUAUUU